UGCGUAGGCGGAACGAUUAGUUAGUGGUGAAAGCCCCCGGCUCAACCGGGGAACUGCCAUUAAUACUGUCAUUCUUGAGUAUAGUUGAAGUGGGCGGAAUGUAUCAUGUAGCGGUGAAAUGCUUAGAUAUGAUACAGAACACCGAUAGCGUAGGCAGCUUGCUAAACUAUAACUGACGCUCAGGCACGAAAGCGUGGGGAGCAAACAGGAUUAGAUACCCUGGUAGUCC
rnacentral:rRNA from 1 species